UGUACUGCCUUCCCCAUGACCCCCCUCCAUUAUGUGUGCUAAUCAUAACGCCCUUUAACCCUUCCCCCUCUCCCCACCACCCCCUUUCUCAGUAUGUUUUGUCGUUUUCACUGAAGUAUCCCAGCGGUCCCCUCCGCAUCCCCUACAGCUGAGGGAACGUUUCCCUCCCUCCGUGCUGGAUGCAGCGUCCUCUCCCUAGCAACAAGGUUCCCGCCGUAGAGCGAGCGGCUCUAGGUCUGAGGAACGUGCUGUCGUAAAGCCGCGAGUGUCGUAAGCCAGGUGCGGUGCGGAGAGGCGCAGGACGUGGCUGGAGCAUGGGGGCGUCUGCAGGAGGAGCAGACGGACGGCCCAGGUGUGGGCGCGGAAAGCCGACGAGCCGGCGGGUGCAGCAACGGCCGUUGGUGGGGCUUUCCAUUGACCUUUGAAGAAGUCAGCAGACCCCAGAAGGAGUGCCUGUGGGAUUAUGAUGGGGAUUAUGUUGAAUCCACAGCCGUUACAGGAAGAACCGUCUUCCAACUGAAUCUUCGAAUACGUGAACACAUCACCUCUCUUCAUUUAUUCAAGUCUUCCUUCAUUUAUUCGCUGAGGGAACGUUUCCCUCCCUCCGUGCUGGAUGCAGCGUCCUCUCCCUAGCAACAAGGUUCCCGCCGUAGAGCGAGCGGCUCUAGGUCUGAGGAACGUGCUGUCGUAAAGCCGCGAGUGUCGUAAGCCAGGUGCGGUGCGGAGAGGCGCAGGACGUGGCUGGAGCAUGGGGGCGUCUGCAGGAGGAGCAGACGGACGGCCCAGGUGUGGGCGCGGAAAGCCGACGAGCCGGCGGGUGCAGCAACGGCCGUUGGUGGGGCUUUCCAUUGACCUUUGAAGAAGUCAGCAGACCCCAGAAGGAGUGCCUGUGGGAUUAUGAUGGGGAUUAUGUUGAAUCCACAGCCGUUACAGGAAGAACCGUCUUCCAACUGAAUCUUCGAAUACGUGAACACAUCACCUCUCUUCAUUUAUUCAAGUCUUCCUUCAUUUAUUCGCUGAGGGAACGUUUCCCUCCCUCCGUGCUGGAUGCAGCGUCCUCUCCCUAGCAACAAGGUUCCCGCCGUAGAGCGAGCGGCUCUAGGUCUGAGGAACGUGCUGUCGUAAAGCCGCGAGUGUCGUAAGCCAGGUGCGGUGCGGAGAGGCGCAGGACGUGGCUGGAGCAUGGGGGCGUCUGCAGGAGGAGCAGACGGACGGCCCAGGUGUGGGCGCGGAAAGCCGACGAGCCGGCGGGUGCAGCAACGGCCGUUGGUGGGGCUUUCCAUUGACCUUUGAAGAAGUCAGCAGACCCCAGAAGGAGUGCCUGUGGGAUUAUGAUGGGGAUUAUGUUGAAUCCACAGCCGUUACAGGAAGAACCGUCUUCCAACUGAAUCUUCGAAUACGUGAACACAUCACCUCUCUUCAUUUAUUCAAGUCUUCCUUCAUUUAUUCGCUGAGGGAACGUUUCCCUCCCUCCGUGCUGGAUGCAGCGUCCUCUCCCUAGCAACAAGGUUCCCGCCGUAGAGCGAGCGGCUCUAGGUCUGAGGAACGUGCUGUCGUAAAGCCGCGAGUGUCGUAAGCCAGGUGCGGUGCGGAGAGGCGCAGGACGUGGCUGGAGCAUGGGGGCGUCUGCAGGAGGAGCAGACGGACGGCCCAGGUGUGGGCGCGGAAAGCCGACGAGCCGGCGGGUGCAGCAACGGCCGUUGGUGGGGCUUUCCAUUGACCUUUGAAGAAGUCAGCAGACCCCAGAAGGAGUGCCUGUGGGAUUAUGAUGGGGAUUAUGUUGAAUCCACAGCCGUUACAGGAAGAACCGUCUUCCAACUGAAUCUUCGAAUACGUGAACACAUCACCUCUCUUCAUUUAUUCAAGUCUUCCUUCAUUUAUUCGCUGAGGGAACGUUUCCCUCCCUCCGUGCUGGAUGCAGCGUCCUCUCCCUAGCAACAAGGUUCCCGCCGUAGAGCGAGCGGCUCUAGGUCUGAGGAACGUGCUGUCGUAAAGCCGCGAGUGUCGUAAGCCAGGUGCGGUGCGGAGAGGCGCAGGACGUGGCUGGAGCAUGGGGGCGUCUGCAGGAGGAGCAGACGGACGGCCCAGGUGUGGGCGCGGAAAGCCGACGAGCCGGCGGGUGCAGCAACGGCCGUUGGUGGGGCUUUCCAUUGACCUUUGAAGAAGUCAGCAGACCCCAGAAGGAGUGCCUGUGGGAUUAUGAUGGGGAUUAUGUUGAAUCCACAGCCGUUACAGGAAGAACCGUCUUCCAACUGAAUCUUCGAAUACGUGAACACAUCACCUCUCUUCAUUUAUUCAAGUCUUCCUUCAUUUAUUCGCUGAGGGAACGUUUCCCUCCCUCCGUGCUGGAUGCAGCGUCCUCUCCCUAGCAACAAGGUUCCCGCCGUAGAGCGAGCGGCUCUAGGUCUGAGGAACGUGCUGUCGUAAAGCCGCGAGUGUCGUAAGCCAGGUGCGGUGCGGAGAGGCGCAGGACGUGGCUGGAGCAUGGGGGCGUCUGCAGGAGGAGCAGACGGACGGCCCAGGUGUGGGCGCGGAAAGCCGACGAGCCGGCGGGUGCAGCAACGGCCGUUGGUGGGGCUUUCCAUUGACCUUUGAAGAAGUCAGCAGACCCCAGAAGGAGUGCCUGUGGGAUUAUGAUGGGGAUUAUGUUGAAUCCACAGCCGUUACAGGAAGAACCGUCUUCCAACUGAAUCUUCGAAUACGUGAACACAUCACCUCUCUUCAUUUAUUCAAGUCUUCCUUCAUUUAUUCGCUGAGGGAACGUUUCCCUCCCUCCGUGCUGGAUGCAGCGUCCUCUCCCUAGCAACAAGGUUCCCGCCGUAGAGCGAGCGGCUCUAGGUCUGAGGAACGUGCUGUCGUAAAGCCGCGAGUGUCGUAAGCCAGGUGCGGUGCGGAGAGGCGCAGGACGUGGCUGGAGCAUGGGGGCGUCUGCAGGAGGAGCAGACGGACGGCCCAGGUGUGGGCGCGGAAAGCCGACGAGCCGGCGGGUGCAGCAACGGCCGUUGGUGGGGCUUUCCAUUGACCUUUGAAGAAGUCAGCAGACCCCAGAAGGAGUGCCUGUGGGAUUAUGAUGGGGAUUAUGUUGAAUCCACAGCCGUUACAGGAAGAACCGUCUUCCAACUGAAUCUUCGAAUACGUGAACACAUCACCUCUCUUCAUUUAUUCAAGUCUUCCUUCAUUUAUUCGCUGAGGGAACGUUUCCCUCCCUCCGUGCUGGAUGCAGCGUCCUCUCCCUAGCAACAAGGUUCCCGCCGUAGAGCGAGCGGCUCUAGGUCUGAGGAACGUGCUGUAAAGCCGCGAGUGUCGUAAGCCAGGUGCGGUGCGGAGAGGCGCAGGACGUGGCUGGAGCAUGGGGGCGUCUGCAGGAGGAGCAGACGGACGGCCCAGGUGUGGGCGCGGAAAGCCGACGAGCCGGCGGGUGCAGCAACGGUGAGUAGCGGAGGGGACCGGGGAACGGCGGCGUCAGGGGAAGCCGGGCAGCCGGGGCGGCCAGAGCAGGGCCGGCCAAGGGGAUGGGAGCGCUCUCUGCCCGCCUCCGCUGCCGCAGCUGCCGGAGCCGCGCCGCGGCCGCUCCGCUCCGCUCUCCCUGAGGCGUCGAGCCCCUCCCCUGGUCUCUCUCCGGCUGGCCGCUCCUGCCGCCGCUGCCGCCCCCCGGGACGGUUCGCCGCCGCCGCCGCCUCCCCGGCGCUGGGCGGGCGUCCGGGACGCGGCCGGCCAGUUCUCUGGUCUGGGCGGAGCGGGUUUUGCCCACUGUUCAGCCCCUCCGUGCCGGGCCGGGCUGCGGGCUGCGGGCUGCAUGUCAGCGCGCGGGUCCCGGCGGAGCGCGCCGCGGUCGGACCGGGCUGCGCCGGCGGCGGUGAGGUUGGGACCGGCCGGCGAGGCGCGCCCGCGGAUGGGGGGGCGGCGGGACGGAGGCGCGGGGCCCUCAGCGGUCCCGCUCCUCGGGUCCCGGCUGGCCACGGCGAGGCGAGCCCCGGGACUGCGGUCCACGCUCCGUGGGGAGCUGGCGCGGCGGCCGGGCCCUCCGGGCACGAGCGGGCACCCACUUGCCGCCGUGGGAGACCUGGAGCUGGCGGCGAGCUGGGCGGCAGGUGCCUUUGCGGAGUUGUUACCCGGUGUCAGGGACGGGGAAGCAGCACAGACAGAUCCCCUCGCCCGGGAGAGCUGCUUUUCCGCGCCAGGAUGGGGCUCUGCGUGGACGCUUUUUUUCUCUUGGUGUUUUCUGGGAAGUUGUUAUCCGGCCGGAGUCGCGGAGCGCUGCACCCGGGUAAUGGAGCUUGGAGCUGCUUCAAUUAAUGGAUAAUGGAUCCUGGCUCCUGGCAUCCACUGUACACGUAUAUUGUUACCAGAAUCGUUGACCAUUACCCUCAUAUCUUUUACAAAUUUAUUCAAUUAAUAUUUAUUGAAUGCCCUUUGUGCUCGGCACGGUUUUAAGCACAGUAAA